CCCCUUGCAGCAGAGGCUGGUCCACGGUUCUCAGGGAAAUGGUGGGUUGGGGAUGAAAUGCUGAUGAGGAUUUCCCAGGAAAGCUUGUCCCUCCUACACUGUGAGGAAGUGGCAGAGCCAAAAGAGGGACACCUAAGAGGACAUGGGUGUGUAGCCCUAAAAAGGGUGUUCCUUUUUGCCUUCCCUCUGUCCAGGUUGGCCCAGCACAUCACCUAUGUGCACCAGCACAGCCGGCAGCCCCCCUCCCAGUUUGAACCUCUGGACAUGAAGCUCAUGAGGCGUUACAUAGCCAUGUGCCGUGAGAAGCAGCCCACGGUGCCAGAGUCUCUGGCUGACUACAUCACAGCAGCAUACGUGGAGAUGAGGCGAGAGGCUUGGGCUAGUAAGGAUGCCACCUAUACUUCUGCCCGGACCCUGCUGGCUAUUCUGCGCCUUUCCACUGCUCUGGCACGUCUGAGAAUGGUGGACGUGGUAGAGAAAGAAGAUGUGAAUGAAGCCAUCAGGCUAAUGGAGAUGUCAAAGGACUCUCUUCU
rnacentral:sRNA from 1 species